UGCCACAAUGCUUGUCAGGCCCAGGCUCCCAGUGGAGUGAGUAAGAGCCGUCUUCCUACUCUGAAGGUGGUGUUUCUACUCCAACAGUUCCCCAAGACACUGGUCCAGCCCACACUUCUGGUCUCGUAGAGCCACGCCCAGAAUUGUCACAAGGCAAGGAGAAGCUUUGGGUGAAGAGGCUAGAAUGCCUCAUAGCUGUCGUCACUGAAGGUCACUGAAGGUACAAUGGCGUGGAGAUGAUGAAGCCUUCCCUAUGUCCUUGCGCUCUCGGUUGUUAGAGAACAUGGCUGGAGAAAUCUCACAGGAGUUGCAUCCAGAUACACGACUGGUCCUAAGGGAGCAUGGAAAGCCCUUUCCAACUGCCCAGAGCUGUAGGGGAAAAGCGCAGUGGUGUGUGAGGGCCUGGUUGCAUCUGAAUUGGAUAUGGUACGGGUUCCGGCUCUAGCAUGUGCCUGCCUGGGAAUGACUAAGAUGGGCAGCCACGCUAGUCAACACAGUCCUCAGCCCCCGCAGUCCUCCGGGGCUGAUGAGCCCUGCCCAGGAGAGCUGGCUUUGGGGUCAGAGGAAGAUAUAUAAGCCACAAACCUACCGUGUAUAUGUAGAGAUCAGAGGACAGUUUGUGAGAGUUGGUUUUCACCUUCUAGGAUGUGAGUCCUGGUGAUUGAGCUCAAGUUGUCAGCCUGGGUGACCUGGGUGACCUGGGUGACAAGUACCUUUACAAAUGAAUCAUCUCACCAGCCCUAAAUUUUUGAAAUCUUAAGACGAUAGCUAGUCAAAUAUACUGGGAAAGUGAAUUGAAGUUUAAUUCUUUCAGUGCUUUUUCUGGGCUGCACACAUGAUUGGCCCUCCUUAUGGAUAGAUUCUGUGUCUACAGAUCAUACCAACAGAGGACUGGAAAAAGAGGAAAAGCCAGAUUGUGUAGUACACAAACUGGAAUCCCAGAAUUUAGGAGGCUCAGGCAGGGAGAUUAAGAGUUUGAGAGGGCUGAACUCCGUAUGCAGAGGACCCGAGUUCAGUUCCUAGUCCAUCAGGUAGUUCAAUGUCGUCUGCAAUUCUAGCUUGGGGUUGGCCUCCUAGGCAGCUCAGGUACACUUACCCACACAUAGACACAUCCAUGAUUAAAAAUAAUAAAAUCGAGGAUGGAGCGACGGAUCAGCGCUUAAGAGCACUGGCUGCUCUUUCAGAGGUCAUGAGUUCAAUUCCCAGCAACCACAUAGUGGCUCACAACUGUAACUCCACUUCCAGGUGAACCGAUGUACUCUUCUGGCCUCUGUGGGCACUGUGCAGAGGUGCUUCACAGGCAUACAUACAGGCAAAACUCUCAUACAUACAACAUUGAGGAGAAGGGAUAUAAAGAGGGUCUGGGGAUAUAAUUCAGUUGGUAGAGGGUCUAGCAUGCAUAAAGUUCUGGGUUCAGUGCCUAGCACUAAUAAAAUCAGGCACAGUAUGCAUGCCUGUAAUGCCAGCACUCAGGAGGCAGAGAUAAAAAUUAAACUUAGGGCUGGUGAGAUGACUCUGACUGCUCUUCCAAAGGUCCUGAGUUCAAAUUCUAGCAAUCACAUGGUGGCUCACAACCAACUGAAAUGAGAUUUGAUGCUGUCUUCUGGUGCGUCUGAAAUCAGCUACAGUGAACUUAUGUAUAAUAAUAAAACUUUUUUUUUUAAAUUAAA